GGGGAUAUGGCGGAAUCGGUAGACGCAACGGACUUAAAAUCCGUUGGUUUUUUUAACCGUGAGAGUUCAAGUCUCUCUAUCCCCA
rnacentral:tRNA from 1 species